GCGCUCACUUCAGCAGCACACGUGCUAAAAUUGGAACGAUACAGAGAUCAGCAAGGCCCCUGCACACGGAUGACACGCAAAUGUGUGAAGUGGUCCAUGUUUUU